GCCUGCGGAGGGAUCAUUACCGAGUUAUACAACUCCCAAACCCACUGUGAACCUUACCUCAGUUGCCUCGGCGGGAACGCCCCGGCCGCCUGCCCCCGCGCCGGCGCCGGACCCAGGCGCCCGCCGCAGGGACCCCAAACUCUCUUGCAUUACGCCCAGCGGGCGGAAUUUCUUCUCUGAGUUGCACAAGCAAAAACAAAUGAAUCAAAACUUUCAACAACGGAUCUCUUGGUUCUGGCAUCGAUGAAGAACGCAGCGAAAUGCGAUAAGUAAUGUGAAUUGCAGAAUUCAGUGAAUCAUCGAAUCUUUGAACGCACAUUGCGCCCGCCAGCAUUCUGGCGGGCAUGCCUGUUCGAGCGUCAUUUCAACCCUCGAGCCCCCCCCGGGGGCCUCGGUGUUGGGGGACGGCACACCAGCCGCCCCCGAAAUGCAGUGGCGACCCCGCCGCAGCCUCCCCUGCGUAGUAGCACACACCUCGCACCGGAGCGCGGAGGCGGUCACGCCGUAAAACGCCCAACUUUCUUAGAGUUGACCUCGGAUCAGGUAGGAAUACCCGCUGAACUUAAGCAUAUCAAAAGCCGGGAGGAAA
rnacentral:rRNA from 1 species